rnacentral:rRNA from 1 species
GAUGAACGCUGGCGGCGUGCCUAAUACAUGCAAGUCGAGCGAACGGACGAGAAGCUUGCUUCUCUGAUGUUAGCGGCGGACGGGUGAGUAACACGUGGAUAACCUACCUAUAAGACUGGGAUAACUUCGGGAAACCGGAGCUAAUACCGGAUAAUAUUUUGAACCGCAUGGUUCAAAAGUAAAAGACGGUCUUGCUGUCACUUAUAGAUGGAUCCGCGCUGCAUUAGCUAGUUGGUAAGGUAACGGCUUACCAAGGCAACGAUGCAUAGCCGACCUGAGAGGGUGAUCGGCCACACUGGAACUGAGACACGGUCCAGACUCCUACGGGAGGCAGCAGUAGGGAAUCUUCCGCAAUGGGCGAAAGCCUGACGGAGCAACGCCGCGUGAGCGAUGAAGGUCUUCGGAUCGUAAAACUCUGUUAUUAGGGAAGAACAUAUGUGUAAGUAACUGUGCACAUCUUGACGGUACCUAAUCAGAAAGCCACGGCUAACUACGUG